AGGCUUAAUAAAGUUUUAAGCCAACAAAAAUCAAUCUUAUGUGUCUUGGGAGAGAUUUCACUGCUAUGAAAAUCAGAUUUUCUCCAUAUUGUUAUAGUAACAAAAUUACAUUUCCCUUAAAACAUUCCACUUAUUUUUGCUCAUUUAUUUGUUUUUAUAGUGCUUUUCUUCCAUAAGCCUAAAUCUAUGAGUUUUUAUGUUUUUAUUCUAGAUUGUUCCAGAUUCCAAGCAAUCGAGAUAAGGAAAAGCCUAUUUUAAUCUAUUUUGAUUCAGUUGACAUUUCAAUACAUGAACGCACAAUGAGAGGGUCACUCUGCAGGAAUGUCUUUGCUUGUUUUGUGAAAAUGUACUUCCUCUCCAACAAGUUUUGCCAAGAAGUUAAUCUUCAUGUCAAGAAAUACUGUUGGGUGAAUGAAAAAAUCUGACGUCCUGUCCUCUGGGAGGGCACUUCAGCAACACUCUUCCCAAAUACUUGAAGCCGAGCCAGACUAUUAUUAGAACAAACAAUUGAUUAAUUUUUGCAACAUUCAUAACAGAAAACUUGUAUGUUAAAUGUGUCUUCUUUCUAAUGAAGUUGGAGUGCUGGGACUAGCCUCCACUGCCUGUUCUCUGGACAACCUUGUGUCCUCAAAAGCUGUCUGGAGCAAGCCCCACUUCCCAGGAUCACGUACCAGAGCAGCAGGACUCAUUAGACGCGCUUUUAGUAGCAGCAUUUCCAGGGAGGAACAAACAGGUUAA
rnacentral:lncRNA from 1 species